AGUGAACGCUGGCGGUAGGCCUAACACAUGCAAGUCGAACGGCAGCACAGUAAGAGCUUGCUCUUACGGGUGGCGAGUGGCGGACGGGUGAGGUAUACAUCGGAAUCUACUUUUUCGUGGGGGAUAACGUAGGGAAACUUACGCUAAUACAGCAUACGACCUACGGGUGAAAGCAGGGGAUCUUCGGACCUUGCGCGAUUGAAUGAGCCGAUGUCGGAUUGGCUAGUUGGCGGGGUAAAGGCCCACCAAGGCGACGAUCCGUAGCUGGUCUGAGAGGAUGAUCGGCCACACUGGAACUGAGACACGGUCCAGACUCCUACGGGAGGCAGCAGUGGGGAAUAUUGGACAAUGGGCGCAAGCCUGAUCCAGCCAUACCGCGUGGGUGAAGAAGGCCUUCGGGUUGUAAAGCCCUUUUGUUGGGAAAGAAAAGCAGCAGGUUAAUACCCCGCUGUUCUGACGGUACCCAAAGAAUAAGCACCGGCUAACUUCGUG
rnacentral:rRNA from 1 species